UUGUAACUGUUGGUUGGCCAGAGGUAUAUGUUGCUCCAGAGGUACAAAAAGAUGGAUAUCUUUAGGAGGAAUAGGAGAAAAAGGAAAUGGCUAAAAAAUAGACCACAUGGAUGUUGAUAAUGAAUAUAGCGGACAAGUAUAAUCAAGACAUCAAAUUUAUGUGUGUUGUUUGAUAAUUGAGGUGUGUUUUUGUAUAUUUACCGGUCGAUUAUAAGGAUUUAGCGUAAAUGAAAUUAAAAUAAAAGAAGACGAUUUCGCCUUU
rnacentral:lncRNA from 1 species